GGUGAUUGUACGAUUCCUAGAGUGUGAGGCUAUACUUCCGGGGAUAGUAGGAAAAGUUCAAGAUGCCAUUGGCAAUUACAACCCCAUAAUUUUGACAGAUGCACAGGGCAAUGCAAUUCUGGAGUCAGAAGGCACAACAAGGUCACAGUACUGGAAACAAAAUGCAUGAAAAGUUCUUGCUGUACCUGAACAAGACUUUAAUAGCCUCCAGGGAACAAAGAGGAGGAGACUGAGCAACCGUAAAGAUGAUGACAGUGCCGGUUUGGGAGAAGUCAGUGACAAAAUAGAAGAGUUGGUGAUGGCAUCUCAAAGUCUACCAGCUGUUACAGUAGCAAUCAGAGAGCUCACUGAUCUUGCAGUUAUCCAGACAGUCAUACUCACUGCUCCCAAACUGCAGACCAUCAAGGAGGGAUUUAGCUGUGUGGUUUGUAUGAAUAUGUUCACAAUUUGCAAAGUAAUUGCACUACAUCUAUAUUAACUAACAUUUUCAUUACAUUUUAUAACACUGUUAAUUGUAAAAACAUUGUCAAACCACAUUCAAGCAAUAUUUUGGUCAAACUUAUUUUUAACAAGCCUGCUCUUUACUUAGCAGUGUCCAUUUAGAGACUCGGGACAAUCAAGAUGCAGUUCUACUAUAACAUAACAAUAUUCACAAGUUCAUAUGAUAAUUUAGUUGAGCUGAAGUUGUCCCUGCUCUCUUGACUAUGAAAAUAUAGCUUUUCAAAUUAAUUACAGUAUAAGUGAUGGGUGACAAAUUUCACAGUCAUGCAAAACCUAAAAGUUAAAAUGGGGUUGCAGCUGCCUACAUUGAAUCAAGUAGAAAUCCACCUGUUUGUUUUUUUGGCACACCAAAUUUUUAUUUUUCUUGAUGCUCACAGACCUCAGUUAAUCAAGAAAACCUAUUCCCCUUUUUAAGAAUAAAUGUAAAAGAGCAGUUUCUGCACAGAAAGAGGACUGAUUUUGUCCCCCAUCAAUUACAUUCAAAGUGGUUAUAGAGAGUGACUUUCUCAGAACAGCAUGAACAAGAGGAAUUACUGCAUGACCAAAAACUUUCAGCAUAUAU